AAAAGGGAACUUUAUGGUUAUUUGCCUUAUUUAGGAUGAGGGACUAUGAAUUCUCAAGCCCUCAGGCUCAUCCAUAUUUCAGUGUAAAUAGAGAAAGACAUUCCAAAACCAAAUAGAAGGGAUUUUUCUACCAAACCUAUUCUUUAUCAUUCUUGGUGCCCCUGGGGUCUUAUAUUAAUUAUAGAGAAUGGGGUAGUUGACUCAAUUCACGUUUCUUUAGUUUCUUUAUUGGAAGGAGGCUGACUUUCACAACCAAAGAGGUGUGAAGUAACUCUAUCAAAAGGGGAAAGGAGUGUCACAUGAAUCUUUUCAAUAGGAAACAUCAGAAAGUGGAGCAAUUCAACUACAGGCAUAAUUCUUUUAGGAGAUUCUGUGCUCAAAGGGAAUGGAAUGGUUUCUGAUCCUUCUGAAAAGAAAAGGAAUAGCAUUUUCUGAAACCCAACUCACUUUCAGCAUUGGAGAAUAUAGAAUUUUUCUUCUAGCUGAUGGCAUUAAUAUUUCUGAGCAGGAGAGAGAGAGCCCACCCACGGCCCUUUCCCAAGUCCAGCAGGAAUCAGCAGAGCUUGGGUUCUCUUAGCAGGUUUGCGGUCGAUUUCAACUUGCAGGUUUUUCACACGUGCAAUAAACUGAAUGUGCAAUUACUCCUUUUGCAAAAGAGGCCAAAAUCCUCCUCCCCACACCUCUCCUUCAUAUUCACUCCUCCAAGAUGAUAAGCCUCCGUCUCGUUUAUCUGUGUCUGUCUGUCCGACUGGUUAGAUACAGCUGCCCUCCCGAGCACAUGGUGUCAGGUGGAGAGCAGAGCGACCUUCCCAAGGAAGGGGACGGCUUGAGGUGCUGGUACAUUUCCCUCGUUUUCUAUGUUCUUCUUUCUAGUAGGUCUCCUGUAGAGAUAGAGAUAUUUUUGUUUUAGAGAUUCCAAAGUAUAUAUUUUUAGUGUAAGAAAUGUACCCUCUCCACACUCCAUGGUGUAAAUAGAGCCAAGAACACGUGUCAUUGUGAUAAUCCCCUAGCGAUCUGCGGUAGCAACAGAAUCCCUGUCCCUCACCGCCUAGUCUCACGGUCUGUGUCUGUGAACCGAGGGGGUGAUGGUGACACCUCUGCCUGCCCAGACCUUCCUGUGCUCAAUG
ensembl:lncRNA